UACGUAGGGUGCAAGCGUUGUCCGGAAUUAUUGGGCGUAAAGAGCUCGUAGGCGGUCUGUUGCGUCGGCUGUGAAAACCCGGGGCUCAACUCCGGGCCUGCAGCCGAUACGGGCGGACUAGAGUUCGGCAGGGGAGACUGGAAUUCCUGGUGUAGCGGUGAAAUGCGCAGAUAUCAGGAGGAACACCGGUGGCGAAGGCGGGUCUCUGGGCCGAUACUGACGCUGAGGAGCGAAAGCGUGGGGAGCGAACAGG
rnacentral:rRNA from 1 species